rnacentral:rRNA from 1 species
AGAAUCAACGCUGGCGGCGUGCCUCAGACAUGCAAGUCGAACGCGAAAGUCCCCUUCGGGGGACAAGUAGAGUGGCGCACGGGUGAGUAACACGUAGGUAAUCUACCUUCGGAUGGGGAAUAACAACCGGAAACGGUUGCUAAUACCGCAUAAUGCAGCGGCACCUAAUGGUGACAGUUGUUAAAGCGGGGGAUCGAAAGACCUCGCGUCUGAAGAGGAGCCUGCGGCGGAUUAGCUAGUUGGUAGGGUAACGGCCUACCAAGGCGACGAUCCCGUA